GUAGGCGAUGGAUAACAGGUUGAUAUUCCUGUACCACCUAUAAUCGUUUUAAUCGAUGGGGGGACGCAGUAGGAUAGGCGAAGCGUGCGAUUGGAUUGCACGUCUAAGCAGUAAGGCUGGGUAUUAGGCAAAUCCGGUACUCGUUAAGGCUGAGCUGUGAUGGGGAGAAGACAUUGUGUCUUCGAGUCGUUGAUUUCACACUGCCGAGAAAAGCCUCUAGAUAGAAAAUAGGUGCCCGUACCGCAAACCGACACAGGUAGUCAAGAUGAGAAUUCUAAGGUGAGCGAGCGAACUCUCGUUAAGGAACUCGGCAAAAUGACCCCGUAACUUCGGGAGAAGGGGUGCUCUUUAGGGUUAACGCCCAGAAGAGCCGCAGUGAAUAGGCCCAAGCGACUGUUUAUCAAAAACACAGGUCUCUGCUAAACCGUAAGGUGAUGUAUAGGGGCUGACGCCUGCCCGGUGCUGGAAGGUUAAGAGGAGUGGUUAGCUUCUGCGAAGCUACGAAUCGAAGCCCCAGUAAACGGCGGCCGUAACUAUAACGGUCCUAAGGUAGCGAAAUUCCUUGUCGGGUAAGUUCCGACCCGCACGAAAGGCGUAACGAUUUGGGCACUGUCUCAACGAGAGACUCGGUGAAAUCAUAGUACCUGUGAAGAUGCAGGUUACCCGCGACAGGACGGAAAGACCCCGUGGAGCUUUACUGUAGCCUGAUAUUGAAAUUCGGCACAGCUUGUACAGGAUAGGUAGGAGCCUUUGAAACGUGAGCGCUAGCUUACGUGGAGGCGCUGGUGGGAUACUACCCUAGCUGUGUUGGCUUUCUAACCCGCACCACUUAUCGUGGUGGGAGACAGUGUCAGGCGGGCAGUUUGACUGGGGCGGUCGCCUCCUAAAAGGUAACGGAGGCGCUCAAAGGUUCCCUCAGAAUGGUUGGAAAUCAUUCAUAGAGUGUAAAGGCAUAAGGGAGCUUGACUGCGAGACCUACAAGUCGAGCAGGGUCGAAAGACGGACUUAGUGAUCCGGUGGUUCCGCAUGGAAGGGCCAUCGCUCAACGGAUAAAAGCUACCCCGGGGAUAACAGGCUUAUCUCCCCCAAGAGUUCACAUCGACGGGGAGGUUUGGCACCUCGAUGUCGGCUCAUCGCAUCCUGGGGCUGUAGUCGGUCCCAAGGGUUGGGCUGUUCGCCCAUUAAAGCGGUACGCGAGCUGGGUUCAGAACGUCGUGAGACAGUUCGGUCCCUAUCCGUCGUGGGCGUAGGAAAUUUGAGAGGAGCUGUCCUUAGUACGAGAGGACCGGGAUGGACAUACCUCUGGUGUACCAGUUGUCGUGCCAACGGCAUAGCUGGGUAGCUAUGUGUGGACGGGAUAAGUGCUGAAAGCAUCUAAGCAUGAAGCCCCCCUCAAGAUGAGAUUUCCCAACUUCGGUUAUAAGAUCCCUCAAAGAUGAUGAGGUUAAUAGGUUCGAGGUGGAAGCAUGGUGACAUGUGGAGCUGACGAAUACUAAUCGAUCGAAGACUUAAUCAA
rnacentral:rRNA from 1 species